rnacentral:rRNA from 1 species
GAUGAACGCUGGCGGCGUGCUUAACACAUGCAAGUCGAACGAGAAGUGAAGACGGAAACCUUCGGGCGGAAGGCUUUAUUUCGAGUGGCGGACGGGUGAGUAACGCGUGGGUAACCUGCCUCAUACAGGGGGAUAACAGUUGGAAACGACUGUUAAUACCGCAUAAGACCAUAGCACCGCAUGGUGCGGGGGUAAAAACUCCGGUGGUAUGAGAUGGAUCCGCGUGCGAUUAGCCAGUUGGCGGGGUAACGGCCCACCAAAGCGACGAUCGAUAGCCGAUCUGAGAGGAUGACCGGCCACAUUGGGACUGAGACACGGCCCAAACUCCUACGGGAGGCAGCAGUGGAGAAUAUUGCACAAUAGGGGAAGCCCUGAUGCAGCGACGCCGCGUGAGUGAAGAAGUAUUUCGGUAUGUAAAGCUCUAUCAGCAGGGAAGAAAAUGACGGUACCUGAGGAAGAAGCCCCGGCUAACUACGUG